GGUUAAGCGACUAAGCGUACACGGUGGAUGCCCUGGCAGUCAGAGGCGAUGAAGGACGUGCUAAUCUGCGAUAAGCGCCGGUAAGGUGAUAUGAACCGUUAUAACCGGCGAUUUCCGAAUGGGGAAACCCAGUGUGAUUCGUCACACUAUCAUUAACUGAAUCCAUAGGUUAAUGAGGCGAACCGGGGGAACUGAAACAUCUAAGUACCCCGAGGAAAAGAAAUCAACCGAGAUUCCCCCAGUAGCGGCGAGCGAACGGGGAGGAGCCCAGAGCCUGAAUCAGCAUGUGUGUUAGUGGAAGCGUCUGGAAAGGCGCGCGAUACAGGGUGACAGCCCCGUACACAAAAGCGCAUGUGCUGUGAGCUCGAUGAGUAGGGCGGGACACGUGGUAUCCUGUCUGAAUAUGGGGGGACCAUCCUCCAAGGCUAAAUACUCCUGACUGACCGAUAGUGAACCAGUACCGUGAGGGAAAGGCGAAAAGAACCCCGGCGAGGGGAGUGAAAAAGAACCUGAAACCGUGUACGUACAAGCAGUGGGAGCACAGGUUUACCUGUGUGACUGCGUACCUUUUGUAUAAUGGGUCAGCGACUUAUAUUCUGUAGCAAGGUUAACCGAAUAGGGGAGCCGGAGGGAAACCGAGUCUUAAUUGGGCGUUAAGUUGCAGGGUAUAGACCCGAAACCCGGUGAUCUAGCCAUGGGCAGGUUGAAGGUUGGGUAACACUAACUGGAGGACCGAACCGACUAAUGUUGAAAAAUUAGCGGAUGACCUGUGGCUGGGGGUGAAAGGCCAAUCAAACCGGGAGAUAGCUGGUUCUCCCCGAAAGCUAUUUAGGUAGCGCCUCGUGAAUUCAUCUCCGGGGGUAGAGCACUGUUUCGGCUAGGGGGCCAUCCCGGCUUACCAACCCGAUGCAAACUGCGAAUACCGGAGAAUGUUAUCACGGGAGACACACGGCGGGUGCUAACGUCCGUCGUGAAGAGGGAAACAACCCAGACCGCCAGCUAAGGUCCCAAAGUCAUGGUUAAGUGGGAAACGAUGUGGGAAGGCCCAGACAGCCAGGAUGUUGGCUUAGAAGCAGCCAUCAUUUAAAGAAAGCGUAAUAGCUCACUGGUCGAGUCGGCCUGCGCGGAAGAUGUAACGGGGCUAAACCAUGCACCGAAGCUGCGGCAGCGAACGUAUCACUUAAAGCGAUUCAGCGGGUUACGAUUGACGGAGCGAAGCGACGUCAAAGCGUAUACAAAGUCGAGUCGGUUUAAGGAUACGUUCGUUGGGUAGGGGAGCGUUCUGUAAGCCCGUGAAGGUGGCCUGUGAGGGUUGCUGGAGGUAUCAGAAGUGCGAAUGCUGACAUAAGUAACGAUAAAGCGGGUGAAAAGCCCGCUCGCCGGAAGACCAAGGGUUCCUGUCCAACGUUAAUCGGGGCAGGGUGAGUCGACCCCUAAGGCGAGGCCGAAAGGCGUAGUCGAUGGGAAACGGGUUAAUAUUCCCGUACUUGGUGUUACUGCGAAGGGGGGACGGAGAAGGCUAUGUUGGCCGGGCGACGGUUGUCCCGGUUUAAGCGUGUAGGUGUGUGUUCCAGGUAAAUCCGGUUCACUUUAACACUGAGGCGUGACGACGAGGCACUACGGUGCUGAAGCAACAAAUGCCCUGCUUCCAGGAAAAGCCUCUAAGCAUCAGGUAACACGAAAUCGUACCCCAAACCGACACAGGUGGUCAGGUAGAGAAUACCAAGGCGCUUGAGAGAACUCGGGUGAAGGAACUAGGCAAAAUGGUGCCGUAACUUCGGGAGAAGGCACGCUGACACGUAGGUGAAGUGAUUUACUCAUGGAGCUGAAGUCAGUCGAAGAUACCAGCUGGCUGCAACUGUUUAUUAAAAACACAGCACUGUGCAAACACGAAAGUGGACGUAUACGGUGUGACGCCUGCCCGGUGCCGGAAGGUUAAUUGAUGGGGUCAGCGCAAGCGAAGCUCCUGAUCGAAGCCCCGGUAAACGGCGGCCGUAACUAUAACGGUCCUAAGGUAGCGAAAUUCCUUGUCGGGUAAGUUCCGACCUGCACGAAUGGCGUAAUGAUGGCCAGGCUGUCUCCACCCGAGACUCAGUGAAAUUGAACUCGCUGUGAAGAUGCAGUGUACCCGCGGCAAGACGGAAAGACCCCGUGAACCUUUACUAUAGCUUGACACUGAACAUUGAGCCUUGAUGUGUAGGAUAGGUGGGAGGCUUUGAAGUGUGGACGCCAGUCUGCAUGGAGCCGACCUUGAAAUACCACCCUUUAAUGUUUGAUGUUCUAACGUGGACCCGUAAUCCGGGUUGCGGACAGUGUCUGGUGGGUAGUUUGACUGGGGCGGUCUCCUCCUAAAGAGUAACGGAGGAGCACGAAGGUUGGCUAAUCCUGGUCGGACAUCAGGAGGUUAGUGCAAUGGCAUAAGCCAGCUUGACUGCGAGCGUGACGGCGCGAGCAGGUGCGAAAGCAGGUCAUAGUGAUCCGGUGGUUCUGAAUGGAAGGGCCAUCGCUCAACGGAUAAAAGGUACUCCGGGGAUAACAGGCUGAUACCGCCCAAGAGUUCAUAUCGACGGCGGUGUUUGGCACCUCGAUGUCGGCUCAUCACAUCCUGGGGCUGAAGUAGGUCCCAAGGGUAUGGCUGUUCGCCAUUUAAAGUGGUACGCGAGCUGGGUUUAGAACGUCGUGAGACAGUUCGGUCCCUAUCUGCCGUGGGCGCUGGAGAACUGAGGGGGGCUGCUCCUAGUACGAGAGGACCGGAGUGGACGCAUCACUGGUGUUCGGGUUGUCAUGCCAAUGGCACUGCCCGGUAGCUAAAUGCGGAAGAGAUAAGUGCUGAAAGCAUCUAAGCACGAAACUUGCCCCGAGAUGAGUUCUCCCUGAGACUUAGAGUCUCCUGAAGGAACGUUGAAGACGACGACGUUGAUAGGCCGGGUGUGUAAGCGCAGCGAUGCGUUGAGCUAACCGGUACUAAUGAACCGUGAGGCUUAACCUU
rnacentral:rRNA from 4 species